CCCAGGGGCACCGCACAGGUGAACACAUCAUCCAUGCAGCUCCCGUGUCAGCUACUCUUCCAACCCCAGAACCAUCACUCAGGGGCAUCAUGGCAGAGUUAUGGCAUACACGGAAUGCUGAUGCUGCAGCACAUUGCUGUCAGAAUGGCAAGAGGACUUAUUGAAACAUAGAGAUCUGUUGGUUAUUACUGUGUGCUGACCCACUUACAAGGACUUGGGCUACUCUGUUAUCAGAGACCUGUGGAGAGUGGGACAGGAGAGUUUGUCAUUCAGUUAACAGGUGAUGCUGCACACUCAAACCCCAGAACACAGACAUCAUUACCAGAACUCUGUUAAAACUAACUUUAUUUUUUCAGUGAGCUGUGGAUUUUGACAGGAUUGCUUAUUGGAGAGAUGCAAGGCUAGGUGUGCGAAGGUAGUGUCUUUCCCCAUGCUGUUUGCAUUACAUAAUUGAGUACUUAAUUACAUUGAGUCUGCUUAGUAAGGUCUAAAUUCUUCAACAGAAAUACUGAUAUAGUGCAUGAUUGGUAAAACUUGCCAUGUGGGAUGAAUACUGCCUUUUCAGGAAUUUUGAUUUAAAAGCCUGAUUGAACUGAAUUAAUACCAAUCCUUUGCUAAGUUAUAAUGAUGUUAGCUGUUACCACAACAAUUAGAAAUUUGUAUAUCUGGAAAAAUAUUUGCAAGUCAUUACCCUCAGAGCCACAUUUAUCACUAUAUGGCUAAUGUUUUAGUUUGUGGACAGGAAGAUUAAUAUUUGUAAGAUAUGGUGGCUCCUUAGAAAAUUCAGUAGAUUCCUCCUUGGAUAUAUUUCAGGUGGAUAUUAUUGGAACACAAUGUUAAGCCACAGCAAUUAAUGCCACUCAUAAAUCAGGCAUUUCUUUGCUUGUGUGAAGGCAAACCCUGAGUGUUAUCUGCAGAAGCUAUUAAAGAAUUAGAUAUAAUUAGCUCACGACUGUCCACUGUAAAGGUAAUACAGAGGAAUAAGUAACAAUUCCAAAUUAUGGCUGUUACUAAUUUGAGAGAUGCACAUUUUGUCGCAAAAACAAAGAAGGGGGAAUAUGGCUCCUCAAGAACAUUUAGAUAAUGCAAUACUUGCACAAGAAUUUCUGAACACAGAGCAUUAAUUUUGAUCCCUGGCAGAGCGAUACUGCUCUGAAGAUUUGCAUACGCAGAACCUGUGGAGACCAGAAAUCUGGCCAAGGAAAAGCUUGCUGCACUCCCCUGGAGGACUGACCCCUAAGCUACAACCCUUGUAGUUAUGAUCACAGAAGAGCUGAAAUCACCUGGUGUGAGCAAAGAUGUGCCUGUGCCCCUGAGGUGUCUUUUUCAAGGCUCUUCUUCAGGAAGGUCUCAGCACUCUGAACACCACCCGCCACAACAGAACCAAUUUCUAAAAGUUUUACAUAAAGAUCCACAAUUGGGUGUGCAAUGGCAAGGCCUAGCUGAUUUACUAAGUCAGCGGAGAAGGUAGGCAUGUGUUUUUAUUGCCAACAGGUCUAAAGUGGCUACCUGCUUGUCUGGACAAACAUCGAUCGCCUCUGAGGAGAUGAGGCCCAGUGAGAGGAGAAAUGACCUAAUCGCAAUCCAGCCCUCGUGGCCAACGCAGGAGCAGGGGUAGGACUGCCAGAACAUGGCUGUGUCUGGAAGCUUAUGAAGGCAGCCUGCCAACACAGGUCUUGCGUCCCACUGCACCCACCAUCAUGUUAUUGUGUUCCUGCUGACCCUCUUCAGUUAUUCCCUGUUCAAUGCUUCCAGAAAGACAUUCAGUAAUGUCAAAGACAGCAUUUCUAGCUAAUGGACUUCCUCCUACCUAGACAGCAUGGCCCCUGAGCUCCAGUUGUAUGAACAGUAGCCAUUUAUUUCCACUUCAUGGGGACAUUGGACACCAUCUUUUUGUUUCCCUGUGCUGUGGGUCUCUUUGUCAGUGGCAUGGUUGUACUUGAUGAGUUUUUUUAUUGAUUUUGAUCUGUAUUCCAUGUAUCUUAUCCUGUGUCCAGCAGAUGACCAGUAAUUGUCUUAAUAAGAUAAUGGCCUUAGAGAUGCAGACUGUUUUGGCAUUAGGGUACAUGAACCCUUCACACAAAAAACAAAGGGG